rnacentral:misc_RNA from 1 species
GGAAAACACAAGCCUUGCUUUGUUUAUUUCUAGUCUUCAACUUGCCAGGACUCACCCUUGGAGACACUAUUCCGAAUCUUGAAGUUGAAAGCACCCAUGGAAUCAUCAAACUCCAUGAUUAUAUAGAUACCUGGACCAUUCUUUUCUCCCACCCAGGCGAUUUCACGCCAGUGUGCACCACUGAACUUGGCCAGAUGGCUGCUUAUGCUCCAGAGUUCAGUAAGAGAGGGGUUAAACUAUUGGGUUUGUCCUGCGAUGAUGUUCUUUCCCACAUUGAGUGGAUUAAGGACAUUGAAGCAUACACCCCAGGAAGCAAGGUGACGUAUCCAAUUAUUGCAGAUCCUUAAUCAACUUAACAUGGUGGAUCCAGAUGAGAAAGACUCCUCGGGGAACAAUCUCCCAUCUCGGGCUCUGCAUAUUUUGGGUUCUGAUAAGAAGCGUAGAUCAAGCUAAGCUUUCUUUAUCCAGCAAGUACGGGCAGGAACAUGGAUGAAGUGAUAAGGGUCUUGGAAUCCCUGAAGAGGGCAGCAAAACACAAGAUUGCGACUCCUGUAAUUUGGAAACCAAGGGAUCCGGUGCUAAUCUCUCCUAGUGUGUCAAAUGAUGAGGCCAAAAAGAUGUUUCCCCGGGAAUACAAGACUGUUAACCUUCCUUCAGGGAAGGAAUACAUGCGCCUUACCAAUGUCGACUAGACUACCCAUCACCAGCUCUAUACAAUGUAGAUUCUCUUUGUAUAAUUCUCACUUAUGUAAUGCUAUAUAAUUUCAGACGCCUUAAUUAGAUAUGCUGUCUGCCUUUACCUAGACGUUGUAAAUUAUUGCUUCAGUGCUAAAAAAGGCCCAAGUUUAAU